rnacentral:lncRNA from 1 species
GUGUUUAGAUGUAUGUGUUGCCUCAUGAAUUCAACACUUUUUUGUCUCUAUUCCAAGGUCCAGAGGUCAGACGUUUAACUACUGGCUGGAAUGGUGGAAAGGGGGAAUGUAAGGAGAAAAGCCGGCCAUCGCAUGACACAACUAUAAACCGAAGCUGAAAUAUAUGCCUUUCGGAUGCUUUUUUUCUUCAUGAGAGGUUUUUCUAGAAUAUAUCACCGGCAACUAUGGUGAUGACAGCUUCUGUAACAUCCUUUCAUCGUUUCAAAAGGUAACCACUUUAGCUUUGUCUCAUUACACCAUAAUUCCUGAGUGCUGGU